rnacentral:rRNA from 1 species
AGAGUUUGAUCCUGGCUCAGAACGAACGCUGGCGGCAGGCUUAACACAUGCAAGUUGAACGUGAUUUGCUGGGUGCUUGCACCGAGCAAUGAAAGUAGCGCACUGGUGAGUAACACGUGGGAACGUACCUUUUGGUGGGGAACAACAGUUGGAAACGACUGCUAAUACCGCAUAAGCCCUGAGGGGGAAAGAUUUAUCGCCGAAAGAACGGCCCGCGGAAGAUUAGGUAGUUGGUGGGGUAACGGCCUACCAAGCCGACGAUCUAUAGCUGGUCUGAGAGGACGAUCAGCCACAUUGGAACUGAGACACGGUCCAAACUCCUACGGGAGGCAGCAGUGAGGAAUAUUGGGCAAUGGAGGCAACUCUGACCCAGCCAUGCCGCGUGAGUGAAGAAGGUUUUCGGAUUGUAAAGCUCUUUCGGGUGUGACGAUGAUGACGGUAGCACCUAAAGAAGCCCCGGCUAACUUCGUGCCAGCAGCCGCGGUAAUACGAAGGGGGCAAGCGUUGUUCGGAAUUACUGGGCGUAAAGGGAGUGUAGGCGGUUAUGUAAGAUAGUGGUGAAAUCCCAGAGCUUAACUUUGGAAUUGCCAUUAUGACUAUGUGGCUAGAAUUACAGAGAGGAUAGUGGAAUACCCAGUGUAGAGGUGAAAUUCGUAGAUAUUGGGUAGAACACCAGUGGCGAAGGCGACUAUCUGGCUGUAUAUUGACGCUGAGGCUCGAAAGCAUGGGGAUCAAACAGGAUUAGAUACCCUGGUAGUCCAUGCUGUAAACGAUGAGUGCUUGUUGUCGGUAUUGUAUCGGUGACGAAGUUAACGCGUUAAGCACUCCGCCUGGGGAGUACGGUCGCAAGAUUAAAACUCAAAGGAAUUGACGGGGACC